rnacentral:lncRNA from 1 species
UGUUAAUAUAUUAGUAUGUAUAUAAUUAUGAGAUAGAUUAACAUAUGUCACAAUCUUGAAAUAUAUAAUUGUCAUGUGUCACGAUCAGGCUAAUUAACAACUUUGAAGAACCAAGCUGUAUAUAAUAAGAUAAUGAGGCACAUAAUAUGGCUGUCACAUUUGUGCAAACCAUUAUACAACUAAAAAUCAUUUUUUGAUAAAAGAUCAAAUAUGUUUUUUUAAAAAUCAUUAUUUAGUCUUCAUUAGAGUAUUUAAUUUAUAUUGUCAUAAGGUGAAUAUUAACGUAUGGAGCUUUCGAUGUAAAAAAAAAAAAUAAUAAUAAUUAAUAAAUAAAUCGUUCAUUCUAAAUGUUCCGCCGCAGCUAGUAAGACUUCACACCUCCUAGUAAUAGACAAUUUGUUACGCACAUUUGCCGUGGCCCCGUGGUCGAGUACCGCAAAAGAGCACACUUAAAGAAAGUAAUUUUAUAGUGGCUUUAUAGUACGCAUCCAUGUACGAAUAGCUUUCUCUCCUCUCCAGAUUCAGAUAGCUUAGUGAGAAGAAAUAUAACAAAAACAACGAUUACUUUUCUAUGGGAUAGAUCCUAUAUACGUGCGAAACGUUAAAUAUCAAUUUUCCUGGAAA